CGACGUAUCAUUCGGUUCAUCGGUAGCUCACUGUUUUAUACGUCUAUUACGUCUUCUUACAUAGAGCGUCGAGACCAUCGGUUACUGUAUAUCAAUGUUUUAUGAUAAUCCAUGCUACUCUAUGUGUUUAUCGUUUGUCAUGAAAUGACUGUUCCAUUUCCAAAAUAUUAAAACAAAAGUUAUGAGUUUAUGACGCAUCUUAACAGUGGGAGUUUUUUAAAUUAAAAGGGAAUUUUUAAAAUUGUAUUUGUACAAAAACAUAUUAUUUCUCAAAGCAUAAAUUAGAAUCUGUUGAAAAACAAGUUGCUGGAUUACGUUAUUAUCACAGAAUCUACUAUUAAUACAGAAGAGGAAUUACAAACAUUGGAAGCAAAAUUAAUUAACCGUGAUCAAAACCAUGCAUUUAGGUCUCAAUAUAAGUACCUAAGUGAUAUUUUUUUAUAUGAACAUUUUUAUACAUUGUGUUGAAACUUAAUAACCUAAAGAAUUUUUAUAGUUUCAUGUAAUGGUACAAAAAUAUUCAUUUUAUAAUUUUAUUUUAAUUUUUUAUUUUCAGAUUGUUAAAAUUACAAUAUAGUCAAUGGGUAAAGAUAUAAAACAUUCAAUUAAACGUAUUAACACAUGGCAUAUCAAAUUGGAUGUUCUGGCUAAAUACUCUAGUUUAACUACUUUUUGGAUAUUACACAUAUUUAUUUAUCUACUACAAUAAAUUCAAAUAUAAAAAAUAUUAUUUUGUGA